rnacentral:tRNA from 1 species
UAGAAAAACGGGACUCGAACCCGCACCAAAAGACUCAAAACCUUUAGCACUCCAUUAUGCUACUUCCU